GCUGCCAUGCUCCUGCUUUGAUGAUAAUGGACUGAACCUCUGAACCUGAAAAAGCUGGGGCACUUUCAGGAACAGCCACCAUCAGUCUAAAGUGAAAGCAGAAAAAAAACCUGAUGACACCGUUGGUAAAGCGCCUUUCCUGCAAGAACAAGAGA